GAUGAACGCUGGCGGCGUGCUUAACACUUGCAAGUCGAACGAAGCAUUUGCGACAGAUUUUUUCGGAAUGAAGUUGCUUAUGACUGAGUGGCGGACGGGUGAGUAACGCGUGGGUAACCUGCCUUGUACUGGGGGAUAGCAGCUGGAAACGGCUGGUAAUACCGCAUAAGCGCACAAUGUUGCAUGACAUGGUGUGAAAAACUCCGGUGGUAUAAGAUGGACCCGCGUCUGAUUAGCUAGUUGGUGAGAUAACAGCCCACCAAGGCGACGAUCAGUAGCCGACCUGAGAGGGUGACCGGCCACAUUGGGACUGAGACACGGCCCAGACUCCUACGGGAGGCAGCAGUGGGGAAUAUUGCACAAUGGAGGAAACUCUGAUGCAGCGACGCCGCGUGAGUGAAGAAGUAAUUCGUUAUGUAAAGCUCUAUCAGCAGGGAAGAUAGUGACGGUACCUGACGAAGAAGCUCCGGCUAAAUACGUG
rnacentral:rRNA from 1 species